UAUGUAGGGGGCUAGCGUUGUCCGGAUUUAUUGGGCGUAAAGAGCGUGUAGGCGGCCUGACAGGUCUGCUGUGAAAACUCGAGGCUCAACCUCGAGAUGUCGGCGGAAACCGUCUGGCUAGAGUCCGGAAGAGGAGAGUGGAAUUCCUGGUGUAGCGGUGAAAUGCGCAGAUAUCAGGAAGAACACCUAUGGCGAAGGCAGCUCUCUGGGACGGUACUGACGCUGAGACGCGAAAGCGUGGGGAGCGAACAGG
rnacentral:rRNA from 1 species